GAUGAACGCUGGCGGCGUGCCUAAUACAUGCAAGUCGAGCGAACGGACGAGAAGCUUUCUUCUCUGAUGUUAGCGUCGGACGGGUGAGUAACACGUGGAUAACCUACUUAUAAGACUGGGAUAACUUCGGGAAACCGGAGCUAAUUCCGGAUUAUAUUUUGAACCGCAUGGUUCAAAAGUUAAAGACGGUCUUGCUGUCUCUUAUAGAUGCAUCCUCGCUGCAUUAGCUAGUUGGUAAGGUAACGGCUUACCAAGGCAACGAUUCAUAGCCGACCUGAGAGGGUGAUCGGCCACACUGGAACUGAGACACGGUCCAGACUCCUACGGGAGGCAGCAGUAGGGAAUCUUCCGCAAUGGGCGAAAGCCUGACGGAGCAACGCCGCGUGAGUGAUGAAGGUCUUCGGAUCGUAAAACUCUGUUAUUAGGGAAGAACAGAUGUGUAAGUAAAAGUGCAGAUCUUGACGGUACCUAAUCAGAAAGCCACGGCUAACUACGUG
rnacentral:rRNA from 1 species